rnacentral:rRNA from 1 species
UACGGGAGGGGCAAGCGUUAUCUGGAAUGACUGGGCGUAAAGUGUCCGUAGACUGUAACGUAAGUUAAUUGUUAAAUUUUAAAAGCCUAACUUUAAAAUAACAUUUAAUACUGCUUUACUUGAGUUUGAUACAGAAGAGUGGAAUUUUAUAUGAAGGGAUAAUACCCGUAGAUAUAUAAAGGAACUCCAGCAGCGAAGGCUACUCUUUGGCACACACUGACGUUGAGGGACGAAAGUAUAGGGAGCAAACAGG